UACGAAGGGGGCUAGCGUUGUUCGGAUUUACUGGGCGUAAAGCGCACGUAGGCGGAUUGUUAAGUCAGGGGUGAAAUCCUGGAGCUCAACUCCAGAACUGCCUUUGAUACUGGCAAUCUUGAGUCCGGAAGAGGUGAGUGGAACUCCUAGUGUAGAGGUGGAAUUCGUAGAUAUUAGGAAGAACACCAGUGGCGAAGGCGGCUCACUGGUCUGGUACUGACGCUGAGGUGCGAAAGCGUGGGGAGCAAACAGG
rnacentral:rRNA from 1 species